rnacentral:rRNA from 1 species
CCUACGGGAGGCUGCAGUGAGGAAUAUUGGUCAAUGGGCGCGAGCCUGAACCAGCCAAGUAGCGUGAAGGAUGACUGCCCUACGGGUUGUAAACUUCUUUUAUAAAGGAAUAAAGUGAGGCACGUGUGCCGUUUUGUAUGUACUUUAUGAAUAAGGAUCGGCUAACUCCGUGCCAGCAGCCGCGGUAAUACGGAGGAUCCGAGCGUUAUCCGGAUUUAUUGGGUUUAAAGGGAGCGUAGAUGGGUUUAUAAGUCAGUGGUGAAAGUUUGCGGCUCAACCGUAAAAUUGCAAUUGAUACUGGCAGCCUUGAGUUCGGUUGCGGUAGGCGGAAUGCGUGGUGUAGCGGUGAAAUGCUUAGAUAUCACGAAGAACUCCGAUUGCGAAGGCAGCUUACUAAACUGCCACUGACAUUGAUGCUCGAAAGUGUGGGUAUCAAACAGGAUUAGAUACCCUUGUAGUC